GUGAGUAGUUCAGAGUUUGAUCCUGGCUCAGGAUGAACGCUAGCGGCAGGCUUAACACAUGCAAGUCGAGGGGCAGCGUGAGGGUUAGCAAUAACCCUUGACGGCGACCAGCGCAAGGGUGCGUAACGCGUGAGCAACUUGCCCUUAUCAGGGGGAUAACCGGUGGAAACGCCGACUAAUACCCCAUGGCAUUGGUUGGAGGCAUCUCCUUCCAAUUAAAGAGUCUCGGAUAAGGAUAGGCUCGCGUGACAUUAGCUAGACGGCGGGGUAACGGCCCACCGUGGCUACGAUGUCUAGGGGUUCUGAGAGGAAGGUCCCCCACACUGGAACUGAGACACGGUCCAG
rnacentral:rRNA from 1 species